GGCGUCUCCUGUCACGUGGUCGUCGCCUGUGUUCCCAGGGGCUCCCCGCGCGGGACUCUUGCUUCCUGCUUGCGUCCGGCCGGCCCCGCGUGCGGUGGCUAGCGGUGUCCGUCCUGUAUCCCCCAUGGCGGUCGUCGGGCCGCGUCGCCUGCCUCUGCGUCUGCGGCGGCGAGCCCGGUGAGUGGUCGGAGAAAUUGACUUGGAUCUCCCUGCGGUUCCCGUACGGCGUGUGACCUUGGGUUAUCUACGCUUCUACUGAGCCUCAGUUUCUCCAUCAGAACAAUGGCUCUGUACAAGACAGCGAGGCCUCCUUAGCCUGUUCCCAAAGACUCGGUGCAAGGUUACUGGUGUCGAGUAUGGUCUCUGGUCAGUUAUGUUUGGGGAGAAAGAAUCACUGGAGUUCGUUUUUGUGAGUGCAGAGUACUAACCUAGGGAUUGAAUAGAAGACACCCUUGCCGACCUGACCUACUACUUACUAUUCAUCCUCCCACCUCGUCGCACUGAUCCUGACCAGGACUUGAAAUUUGUGGCACUACCUCGUCGUUUCCACUAGGUGGCACUAUCACAAAGGACAACGGAGGGUCCUGAAAGCCAGCGCUGCAAACUGCAGGUGCCAGCCUGUUGUAAGGCCUGAUAGCUUUGGAGCCAAUUCACCUUGUGAGCCAUUGGCCUGACCGCCGUCACCACCUUUAUGUUUGUUGGAAGCUGACUGUACCUUGGUGCUGGGCUACUGAUACACUCCAUGAUGCUAGCAGAAAGCUUUAAUUGGCCAAGUUCAACUCUGGAUGUUUAAAGAAAUUAGUGUUCUUUGAGCCUUGGUGGGUGGUGGUGGAGGGGAUGCUGGUUUUCUUGUGAUGGGAGCAGCCUGAACAUUUACCUGCAUACCAUCUUUGUGCCUAUGUCCACAAGCUGGAAGCAUAAAAUACCGGGGCCAAGAAGCAAUGAAGACAAGGGAAGAAUUAAAGAAGAGGAGCAGAGGGGUUGGGGAUUUAGCUCAGUGGUAGAGCGCUUGCCUAGGAAGCGCAAGGCCCUGGGUUCGGUCCCCAGCUCCGAAAAAAAGAAAAAAAAAAAAAAAAAAAAAAAAGAAGAGGAGCAGGACUGAGGUUCCUGAUUUCUUCAGCUCAGCUGGGGAUCCCCUCCCAUGGGAACUGCAAUGUCUCUGCUAAGAAGGUUUCCUCUCAGAGCUGUGUGGUCCCUGGGCUCCCAAGUCUUAGGAUGCCCUGCCCUUGGGACACUGUCCCACAUUAGAGUUGUGCAGUUCCUGGGCUUUGGAGUCCCAGGAUACCCUUCCAUUUGAGCAGGAACUUAGAAGCCCUCCUCCCAAUUUCUAACUCAGCCCCUUCAAAGAUUUCUCCCAACCGUUCCUCCCUCAGUUCCCCAACAGUAUGUGUAGAGUCCCUUCUCUCGGUUUUUCUCAGUACUGGCAACUCCAAACUAUAACAACUGUUCUAGCCUAUCUGCUCAGCUUAGCUUCUCCUGGCUCAGCUGCUACCAACUGUCUUCUGUCUUCUUACACUGUUAGUCCAAUUUAUGUUCAACUGCCUUGUCUUCUCCCUCUGCUAGUCCAGUGCUCUUUCUCAGCCUCAGCUGGCUUUUUUUUUCCUUCUCCUGUUCCCAGAAAUCCAAGAGGCACCCAACACUGAAGAUCAUAGGAUCAAGCAGUUCUAACAGCUAAGAAUUCUUGAAAGGUCAGGUGAUUAGCAACUGGGGAUCCUUUAAAGGCCCAGGCACACAAGAUGAAUUACACUACAACAGAGGACUUGCUGAGCAUGUGCAAUCCCUAUUGUAUACCACCAAUAAAUCGGAUCCAAGAAUAGUUACCCAGAUGGAGAGAGACUUGUGAAAUAAUGGAUGAAGGAUGAUUACAAAGGUAUAGCACACUUUGCUUCUCUUCGCACAAUGUCUAAAAUGUAUGUUUUAUGUAUGUAUUUGUAUGCCCAAUAUGACAGCUGAACAGUGGUGGUAUACACUCAGCACUCAGGAAAUAGACAGGCAGAUCUCCGAAUUUGAAGCCAGCACAGUCUACAGAAUGAGUUCCAGGUCAACCAAAGCUGGACAGAGACACUCUGUCUUGAAAAACAAAACAAUAACAAAACAGACAUGAAUGCUAUUUUAAAUAAAUGUUCUUAUUUAUUUAAAUGAUCAAAAUUUAUUUUAAAAAGUAGUGCUAUUUUAAUUGUUUUAAAUAGGAAACAAAUCAAAUGUCUAUCAAGAGUGGGAUGGGUAAGUGAUGAUAUAGUCACACAUUGGAACACUCCAGCUGUGAAGAGUAAAAAAACAACAUCCAUGAUUCUCAACAUAAUGGCAAUAAAACAGACAAAAAGAUUAUGAUUCCAUAUAAAGUACAGCAGGCAAAGUUGACUUGUGCUAUUAGAAGUCAGAAUGGCAGUCAGCUCUUUUUUUUUUUUUUUUUUUUUUUUUUGUCUAAAAAAAAAAUUGUGUCUGGAUAUGGUGGUACAUGCCUGGAAUCCCAAAACUUGGUAGUUAGAGUCAGCAGGAUCAGGAGCUCAAGGCCAGCCGGGACUUGAGAUCAGCCGAGGCUUCAUGAAACUCUGUCUCAAAAAAGCAAAAACAAAUUAUGAUAAAUUACACACACUAUAAAAUGUACUGUUUGCAUUCAUACUAUUAUGUAAUAAUUUCCAAUAACUAGUUUCAGAAUUUUUUAUGCAUAUGAGUGCUUGCUUGCAUGUACAUGUGUGGUGUGUGUGUGUAUCUGUAUCAAUGGGUACAAUGUUUGUGGAGGCCAGAAGGAACAUUCCGCCCCCUGAAAUUGGAGUUACAGGUGGUUGUGAGCUGUGGUUGCUAGGAACCAAACUGGAGACCUCUGGAAGAGCAGCCAGUGCUCUUAAACACAGACAUUCUCCAGCCCCAGUACUUGAAGAGACAAGGGGUCUCUUGUCCUUGAAGAGGAGGAAUAGUGACAGGGAGAAGCACCUGGCCAUUGAUAAUUGUUCCUUUACACAAAAUCUGGGCGUUUCUAUCAGGAUAGUGUAUCCAGAUAUGCUGAUUAUACUUCUCUGUGAUUGAUAUACCUAAAUAUUUGUAGAUACAUAGUUUUGUCUCUUUGGAGGCAUGAUUUUGAAUCCUCUUUGCUACUUUGUGUUUUAAAGUUGGUCUUCAUGAACACAAAUAUUACUGUGGUAGCAAAAAUUUAAAAUGCAAAGCACUUCAAAUAAAGGAAAUAUAUUAAUUUUAA
ensembl:lncRNA